UACGGAGGGUGCAAGCGUUAUCCGGAUUCACUGGGUUUAAAGGGUGCGUAGGUGGGUCUGUAAGUCUGUGGUGAAAUCUCUAAGCUUAACUUGGAAACUGCCAUGGAUACUAUAGAUCUUGAAUACCGUGGAGGAUAGCGGAAUAUGUCAUGUAGCGGUGAAAUGCUUAGAUAUGACAUAGAACACCAAUUGCGAAGGCAGCUGUCUACCCGAAUAUUGACACUGAGGCACGAAAGCGUGGGGAUCAAACAGG
rnacentral:rRNA from 1 species